CAACUCGAAAUCCAUUUCAUUUAGUUGAAUUUAGACCCUGACCAUUAACAGGAUCAAUAAGAGCUUUAUUUUUAACAACAGGACUUUCCUCAUGAUUUCACAAUUAUGAAAAUUCCCUUAUUUUUUUGGUCUACUACUUAUAAUUUUAACUAUAGUUCAAUGAUGACAUCGUAAGCGCGUCGUGUA